rnacentral:rRNA from 1 species
UACGAAGGGGGGCUAGCGUUGCUCGGAAUUACUGGGCGUAAAGGGAGCGUAGGCGGAUAGUUUAGUCAGAGGUGAAAGCCCAGGGCUCAACCCUGGAAUUGCCUUUGAUACUGGCUAUCUUGAGUGUGGGAGAGGUUAGCGGAACUCCGAGUGUAGAGGUGAAAUUCGUAGAUAUUGGGAAGAACACCGGUGGCGAAGGCGGCUCACUGGCUCGUAACUGACGCUCAGGCGCGACAGCGUGGGGAUCAAACAGG